GACGAACGCUGGCGGCGUGCUUAACACAUGCAAGUCGAACGGAAAGGCCCUGCUUUUGUGGGGUGCUCGAGUGGCGAACGGGUGAGUAACACGUGAGUAACCUGCCCUUGACUUUGGGAUAACUUCAGGAAACUGGGGCUAAUACCGGAUAGGAGCUCCUGCUGCAUGGUGGGGGUUGGAAAGUUUCGGCGGUUGGGGAUGGACUCGCGGCUUAUCAGCUUGUUGGUGGGGUAGUGGCUUACCAAGGCUUUGACGGGUAGCCGGCCUGAGAGGGUGACCGGCCACAUUGGGACUGAGAUACGGCCCAGACUCCUACGGGAGGCAGCAGUGGGGAAUAUUGCACAAUGGGCGGAAGCCUGAUGCAGCAACGCCGCGUGCGGGAUGACGGCCUUCGGGUUGUAAACCGCUUUCGCCUGUGACGAAGCGUGAGUGACGGUAAUGGGUAAAGAAGCACCGGCUAACUACGUGCCAGCAGCCGCGGUGAUACGUAGGGUGCGAGCGUUGUCCGGAUUUAUUGGGCGUAAAGGGCUCGUAGGUGGUUGAUCGCGUCGGAAGUGUAAUCUUGGGGCUUAACCCUGAGCGUGCUUUCGAUACGGGUUGACUUGAGGAAGGUAGGGGAGAAUGGAAUUCCUGGUGGAGCGGUGGAAUGCGCAGAUAUCAGGAGGAACACCAGUGGCGAAGGCGGUUCUCUGAGCCUUUCCUGACGCUGAGGAGCGAAAGCGUGGGGAGCGAACAGGCUUAGAUACCCUGGUAGUCCACGCUGUAAACGGUGGGUACUAGGUGUGGGGUCCAUUCCACGGGUUCCGUGCCGUAGCUAACGCUUUAAGUACCCCGCCUGGGGAGUACGGCCGCAAGGCUAAAACUCAAAGGAAUUGACGGGGCCCCGCACAAGCGGCGGAGCAUGCGGAUUAAUUCGAUGCAACGCGUAGAACCUUACCUGGGUUUGACAUGGAUCGGGAGUGCUCAGAGAUGGGUGUGCCUCUUUUGGGGUCGGUUCACAGGUGGUGCAUGGCUGUCGUCAGCUCGUGUCGUGAGAUGUUGGGUUAAGUCCCGCAACGAGCGCAACCCUUGUUCACUGUUGCCAGCACGUUAUGGUGGGGACUCAGUGGAGACCGCCGGGGUCAACUCGGAGGAAGGUGGGGAUGACGUCAAGUCAUCAUGCCCCUUAUGUCCAGGGCUUCACGCAUGCUACAAUGGCUGGUACAGAGAGUGGCGAGCCUGUGAGGGUGAGCGAAUCUCGGAAAGCCGGUCUCAGUUCGGAUUGGGGUCUGCAACUCGACCUCAUGAAGUCGGAGUCGCUAGUAAUCGCAGAUCAGCAACGCUGCGGUGAAUACGUUCCCGGG
rnacentral:rRNA from 1 species